UUUAAUUUAUUUCAUUUCUGUCAGGUCCAUUAAGUCAAGAACAACACAGACAAUAAAAAUGCUUUAAGAAAUGUUAUUAAAUGAAUUACGAAUUUAAUUUUGCGUUAUGGCUCUGUUCAGAGGAGUCCCUUCAGCAACAGCAGCAGCAGCAUUAGGGGACACUCACACAGUUUAAG